rnacentral:rRNA from 1 species
AAAGGCGCUUUCGGGUGUCGCUGAUGGAUGGACCCGCGGUGCAUUAGCUAGUUGGUGAGGUAACGGCUCACCAAGGCCACGAUGCAUAGCCGACCUGAGAGGGUGAUCGGCCACAUUGGGACUGAGACACGGCCCAAACUCCUACGGGAGGCAGCAGUAGGGAAUCUUCGGCAAUGGACGAAAGUCUGACCGAGCAACGCCGCGUGAGUGAAGAAGGUUUUCGGAUCGUAAAACUCUGUUGUUAGAGAAGAACAAGGAUGAGAGUAACUGUUCAUCCCUUGACGGUAUCUAACCAGAAAGCCACGGCUAACUACGUGCCAGCAGCCGCGGUAAUACGUAGGUGGCAAGCGUUGUCCGGAUUUAUUGGGCGUAAAGCGAGCGCAGGCGGUUUCUUAAGUCUGAUGUGAAAGCCCCCGGCUCAACCGGGGAGGGUCAUUGGAAACUGGGAGACUUGAGUGCAGAAGAGGAGAGUGGAAUUCCAUGUGUAGCGGUGAAAUGCGUAGAUAUAUGGAGGAACACCAGUGGCGAAGGCGGCUCUCUGGUCUGUAACUGACGCUGAGGCUCGAAAGCGUGGGGAGCAAACAGGAUUAGAUACCCUGGUAGUCCACGCCGUAAACGAUGAG